rnacentral:rRNA from 1 species
GACGAACGCUGGCGGCGUGCUUAACACAUGCAAGUCGAACGAUGAAGCCUUUCGGGGUGGAUUAGUGGCGAACGGGUGAGUAACACGUGGGCAAUCUGCCCUGUACUUUGGGAUAAGCCUUGGAAACGGGGUCUAAUACCGGAUAUCACUUACCUCCGCAUGGGGUUUGGUUGAAAGUUCUGGCGGUACAGGAUGAGCCCGCCGGCCUAUCAGCUUGUUGGUGGGGUAGUGGCCUACCAAGGCGACGACGGGUAGGCCGG